rnacentral:rRNA from 1 species
UACGUAGGGGGCUAGCGUUGUCCGGAAUCAUUGGGCGUAAAGAGCGUGUAGGCGGCCCGGUAAGUCCGCUGUGAAAGUCGGGGGCUCAACCCUCGAAUGCCGGUGGAUACUGUCGGGCUAGAGUGCGGAAGAGGCGAGUGGAAUUCCUGGUGUAGCGGUGAAAUGCGCAGAUAUCAGGAGGAACACCUAUUGCGAAGGCAGCUCGCUGGGACGUAACUGACGCUGAGGAGCGAAAGCAUGGGGAGCGAACAGG